rnacentral:rRNA from 1 species
UACGGGGGGGGCAAGCGUUGUUCGGAAUUACUGGGCGUAAAGGGCUCGUAGGCGGCCAACUAAGUCAGACGUGAAAUCCCUCGGCUUAACCGGGGAACUGCAUCUGAUACUGGAUGGCUUGAGAUUGGGAGAGGGAUGCGGAAUUCCAGGUGUAGCGGUGAAAUGCGUAGAUAUCGAGAGGAACACCUGCGGCGAAGGCGGGUUGCUGGGCUGACACUGACGCUGAGGCGCGAAAGCUAGGGGAGCGAACGGG